UAGAAUUAUUUGGAUAAUUUCAAUCCUGGAGUUGCCAAUUUCCAAUGAAUUAAAGAUAAAAGCAGUUGAUAACUUGGAAACUACUACUAAAUGACAUCACAAGGUGAAAUAGAGCAUUUUGAGAGUUGGGAAUUUAUCAAAACUAAUGCAGGGUUCCUCAAACAUGUGAAUAAAACAAACCACAACUCAGGAUACAUUUCUAAUGGCAGACUGGACCCUGCAGCUGGAAGCAUGGCAGCAUGAAGCUCCUCAGACCCUGCAGGUGCUCCCCUGUCUGAACCAGGCUGGACAGAGGCCAUGGCGGUGGGCAAGGCUAACUCUCUGCUCUGCAAAGAGAGCAUUCUGAUUGGCUGUCAGAAGAACGCAGAGCUCGUAUUGGUAUACGUGCCUCUGAGCGCCUGCAGGGACGACCUUGGGAGAAGGUUCAACGAUGCGGUGGUGAAAUACUCCUGUGUCUAUGCCUGGUGUUUUGCUCAGGGAGAGAUCCAUUCACCCCGCACCCUGACAAACCUGGACACCUGCAGGGAGCGGUCUGCUUCUGUCAGUACGUGCACCAUCACAAAUGCAGGUACUGCUGAGGCAGAGAUAUAUUAUAAGGCUUAGAUAGAACCAAAGUCUGUUGCCAUGGCAAAUGUGGCAGCUAUCUUGUGAUUCUGAUGGAAAAUAAUGUAAGAGCAGCACCAGAAGAUUAGCAGUGUUUAAAUUUACAUAUAAUCACAUUUUGCCUUUUCAUUUUUAUUUUGUGCUUUAUGCUGUGUUAUUUUUGUUUUAUGUUUGUAAAAAAUAAAAUAAAAUAAAAUAAAAUAAAUAAAUAAAUAAAUAAAAUACAUUUUCAAAAAUGA